rnacentral:tRNA from 1 species
GGGGCUGUGGCUCAAUGGUAGAGUGCUUGCCUAGCAUGCAUGAGGCACUGGGUUCGUUCCUCGGCACCA